rnacentral:rRNA from 1 species
UUCAUGGAGAGUUUGAUCCUGGCUCAGGACGAACGCUGGCGGCGUGCCUAAUACAUGCAAGUCGAGCGGACCGACGGGCGCUUGCUCCCUGAGGGUAGCGGCGGACG